GUGGGUGUGAGGAGAUAGCAGACUCAGCCUGGAGGACUCCAAGUUAAUCAGCUCACGUCCCCAAGCUAGGAAGGACACCUUGCAGAAAAGAACACGACCAAACACUCCUACCAGUGUUUGGGUCUCCGCGGCCCACAGGCUGUCCGUGUGUUCCCUGGUCAGCUGGAGCUGGGCAGCAGGAAGCCUGACUCCAGGAGCUAAGGAGCCGCUCGCUGCAGACGCCAGUGCAGCCAGGCUGGAAGCGGUGCAUGGCACAUCAGAACUUAGCAGGGGAUUACUCAAGCCUUGGCCUCCUUCCAAAGCUCUAGCCAUCACAUCCAACAGCCCACUCAACGUUGCUGCUACCAUGACUAACAGACAACCCAAAUGUCAUCUGUCUGACAGAGCCAGCCCGAGCCUGUAUUUCCAAAUCUUCUCUUUAUCAGUAAAUGACAACACUGCUCCCCGCCUCA